rnacentral:lncRNA from 1 species
AAGGAUUUAAUGUUGAUACACAUUGUUAAGAGAAUAGAUUAAGCAUAUUAGUUUAGCCUAUUAGAUUGUGACACCUGUCACUCAUUAAGUAUAUUCUAUAUGCUUCUAUAAAUAUCUGUAAUCCUUAGAGUUCAUUCAAUAAUAACAAUCUCAUUUUAUCUUCUCUUUCUCUCUCCUUUAUCUUUCUCUCUCUUUACCUUUCUCUCUCUUCUAACCGUAACAAACUCCAUUGAUGAAUCUGAGUUUCUUUCAUGGUAUCAGAGCGUAACUUGAUCCAUGGCGCCUACACUUGAAGACUCUUCCGAUUCCGACAACAACCGUACCUCCGCCGAAUCUCAGCGCGUUACGGCGGCGGCGGCGAAAACUUUCAAGCAAUUCGUUUCGGUGAAACUCGACGACACGAACUACUUGCAAUGGAAACAGCAAGUGGAAGGAGUUCUUCGCGGUACAAAAAUGGUGAAGAUAGUUGUUUCGCCGCAAAUUCCUCCAGUUUUUCUCUCUGACGCGGAUCGCACAGCAGGGAAAGAGAAUCCGGCUUACACCGAAUGGGAAGAACAAGAUUCUCUCCUUUGCACAUGGAUUUUAUCAACUAUUUCGUCUUCUCUGCUUUCGCGUUUCGUGCUUCUCCGUCACUCGUGGCAGGUUUGGGACGAAAUUCACACUUAUUGCUUCACACAAAUGAAAACUCGUUCGCGUCAAUUGCGUUCUGAGUUACGCACCAUUACCAAAGGAACGCGCACAAUUGCCGAGUGUAUUGUUCAAAUUAGGUCACUUUCUGAAUCCUUGAUGUCAAUAGGAGAUCCUAUGUCUCAGCGUGAUCUCAUAGAGAUUAUCCUUGAAUCACUUCCAGAAGAGUUCAAUCCUAUUGUUGCAAGUGUCAAUAGCAGAUCUGAAGUGAUAUCUCUGGAUGAACUUGAAUCACAGCUUCUCACUCAAGAAGCGCGCAACGAAAAGUUCAAGAAAGCACUAAUUGCUGACUCUGCUUCAGUUAAUCUCACUCAAAAUCUCAGUGCUGCAAGCCAAACUCAGCCUUCUCCUACUCAGCAACACUUCUCUGAUGGGAAUUCUAAUGGUAACCCUUAUGGUAAUACUCAGUAUACUACUCCUUAUGGUAAUGAACAGUAUGGUAACUCUGGAGGUAGAGGUGGCUAUUUCAGAGGCAGAGGACCUCGUGGUGGUCGUCUUAGAGGCCGUGGUGGUGGACCUCGUGCCUACAUUCAGUGUCAGAUAUGUCACAAAACUGGACAUGAUGCUUCUAUUUGUUACCAUCGCCUCUCUGUUCCACCUACUUAUGAAGGAUAUGGUACUCCUGGUUUCUAUGGUGCCUCUAAUGGUAUUCUUGGAACACCUCCCAAUGUGUGGAUGCAAGGAAUGCAGCGUGCUCCUAUGGUCAACAAUCC